rnacentral:rRNA from 1 species
GAUUAACGCUGGCGGCGUGCAUAACACAUGCAAGUCGAACGAAGUGGCGGACGGGUGAGUAACGCGUGAGUAACCUGCCUUAGAGAAGGGGAUAGACUUUGGAAACGAAGAAUAAUACCCUAUGCUCUAAGAUGGACUUGCGUCUGUUUAGUUGUUGGGUGGGGUAACGGCCCACCAAGACAGCGAUCAGUAGCCGGCUUGAUAGAGUGGACUGCCGCAUUGGGACGGAGACACGGCCCGGAUUCUACGGGAGGCAGCAGUGGUGAAUUUUGCACAAUGGGGGAAACCCUGAUGCAGCGACGCCGCGUGAUUUAGAAGGCCUUCGGGUUGUAAAAAUCUUUUCUAUGGGAAGCUGUACCAUAGAAGAAAGCUCCGGCUAAAUACGUGCCAGCAGCCGCGGUAAUAC